rnacentral:rRNA from 1 species
AUUGAACGCUGGCGGCAGGCCUAACACAUGCAAGUCGAGCGGAGCGGCUGACGGGUGAGUAAUGCCUAGGAAGCUGACUGGUAGUGGGGGAUAACGUCCGGAAACGGGCGCUAAUACCGCAUACUAUCAGAUGAGCCUAGGUGGGAUGAGCUAGUUGGUGGGGUAAAGGCCGAACAAGGCGACGAUCCGGAACUGGUCUGGGAGGAUGAUCAGUGCAACUGGAACUAGGACACGGUCCAUACUCCUACGGGACGCAGCAGUGGGGAAUAUUGGACAAUGGGCGAAAGCCUGGUCCAGCCGUGCCGGGGGUGUGAAGAAGGUAUUCGGAUUGUAAAGCACUUUAAGUUGUGAGGCGUUACCAACAGAAUAAGCACCGGCUAACUUCGUGCCAGCAGCCGCGGUAAUUC